rnacentral:snoRNA from 1 species
GUGGUUGUGUGUGUGUUGUGUGUGUGUGUGUGGUGUGUGUGUGUGGUUGUGGUGUGUGUGUGUGUGUACACACACACACACACACACACACACACACACACACACACACACAUAUAUAUAUAUUAUAUUAUAUAUAUAUAUAUAUAUAUUAUAUAUAUAUAUACAUAUUUAUAUAUAUAU